AGCGAACGCUGGCGGCAGGCCUAACACAUGCAAGUCGAACGAACUCUUCGGAGUUAGUGGCGGACGGGUGAGUAACACGAGGGAACGUGCCUUUAGGUUCGGAAUAACCUAGGGUAACUUGUGCUAAUACCGAACGUGCCCUUCGGGGGGAUGAUUCAUCGCACUUCGUGCGGCUCGCUUCUGAUUAGCUAGGUGGUGAGGUAAAGGCUCACCAACGCGGCGCUCAGUAGCUGGUCGGUGGGGAUGAUCAGCGACGUUGGGACUGCGACACGGCCCAAACUCCUACGGGGGGCAGCAGUGGGGAAUCUUGCGCAAUGGGCGAAGGCCUGACGAAGCCAUGCCGCGUGUAUGAUGAAGGUCUUAGGAUUGUAAAAUUCUUUCGCCGGGGACGAUAAUGACGGUACCCGGAGAAGAAGCCCCGGCUAACUUCGUG
rnacentral:rRNA from 1 species